rnacentral:rRNA from 1 species
GCUUGCCCUGAAUAUAUUAGCAUGGAAUAAUGAUAUAGGCGAAUGCGUCUAUUUUGUUGGUUUCUAGACGCAAUCGAAUGAUUAAUAGGGACAGUUGGGGGCAUUCGUAUUAUGACGUCAGAGGUGGAAUUCUUGGAUUGUCAUACGACGAACUACUGCGAAAGCAUUUGCCAAGGAUGUUUUCAUUGAUCAAGAACGAAAGUAAGGGGAUCGAAGACGAUUAGAUACCGUCGUAGUCUUUACCAUAAACUAUGCCAACUAGAGAUUCGGCGUCGUUCUUUGUAUGACUCGCUGAGCACCUUAUGAGAAAUCAAAGUUUUUGGGUUCCGGGGGGAGUAUGGACGCAAGGCUGGAACUUAAAGGAAUUGACGGAAGGGCGCCACCAGGAGUGGAGCCUGCGGCUUAAUUUGACUCAACACGGGAAAACUCACCAGGUCCAGACAUAGUAAGGAUUGACAGAUUGAUAGCUCUUUCUUGAUUUUAUGGGUGGUGGUGCAUGGCCGUUCUUAGUUCGUGGAGUGAUUUGUCUGCUUAAUUGCGUUAACGAACGAGACCUUAACCUGCUAAAUAGGAGCGUCUAUCUUCGGAUAAGAUGCUUUCUUCUUAGAGGGACUUUGUGUUUUUCAGCGCAAGGGAGUUUGAGGCAAUAACAGGUCUGUGAUGCCCUUAGAUGUUCUGGGCUGCACGCGCGCUACACUGAUGCGUUCAACGAGUGUAUCACCUUGUCCGACAGGAUUGGGUAAUCUUUUGAACACGCAUCGUGAUGGGGAUAGAUUAUUGCAAUUAUUGAUCUUCAACGAGGAAUUCCUAGUAAUGAUGGUUCAUUAGACCGUCGUGAUUACGUCCCUGCCCUUUGUACACACCGCCCGUCGCUCCUACCGAUUGAGCAAUCCGGUGAAUAUUUCGGACCGGACCCUGUCGGGGCAACUCGUUCAGGGACUGGAAAGUCAAGUUAACCUUAUUGCUUAGAGGAAGGAGAAGUCGUAACAAGGUUUCCGUAG